UACUAUUUUUCUUACUGAGUUUUAUGAAACUCACCCCAAAUCCAUUUUCCCCCAGAGGAUGAGGAAACUUGUUUGGAUCCUUUUGCAUACUUGUAGGGGAUAUUUGAGUACAUAUGGAUGACAGUACUCUAAUGAACAAUUAUUCUUGUAAUGAAAAAAGUGGCUAGAAGAAUGUCUGUUUACGUUUUAUUAGCCAACUUAGCCUCAUAUGUAUUUAA
rnacentral:lncRNA from 1 species